UGACUUCUCAGCUUCCUUUUCCGGUUGCCAUCCUUGCCAUCCGCUGUCAUGCCUCUCCACCGCCACGCUUCCCCAUCAUUAUGGAGAUGGACUUGUCCUGGAACCAUAAGCCAAAUAAAGCCUUCCUUCUCCAAGUCUGCUUGAACCAAUAUUGCAACUGAAAUUUGUCGAAGGCCGAGGCAUUUGCUGAAACAGGAAAUGGAGAACAUUACAGCAGAGUGGAGCCCUUUUGGUAAUGAUGCAUGGGGCUGAAAUGAUGUGAAGGGGAAACCAUUUAACCAUGUAAAUUGAACAAAGGAGCUUAAUUUGAAUCAGUUUUCAGGUCGGAGCUGUUGUGUUUGUAAAGAAAAGGAAGCAGAGAACAGGCUGGCACUGGUAUCAUUAUUUCCCCCUUCCUGAAUAUUUCCUACCAAGCAACUGCUUUGGAAAUAACAAAAUGAUUUCACUAUGGAAAAAAUGCCGAGAAAAGAAUCCGGGGCUGUCUGAUUGGCUAAUAAUGAACAUAAAGGACGUCGUGCUUGUUGAAUGGCAGAUUGAAAUCCGGCUAGUUGGUGAGAACGUCUGUCUAGUUGGUGAGAACGUCUGUCCAUUUUUACUGAACCUGCUGACUUCCCAGAGUUCCAUUGGUGGCUUUCUGGAUUGCCUUAGGUCUUGCUUCAGGACAACGGAAUGGGAGCAAUAAAACAAAAAGAAGUUAUAUUUACAAUCUCAGACUGAUAAAAAUUUAUAGCUAAGAAGACCCACAGAGAUUAACUGGGCCUGCUUACCCUAUUCCACCGUUUGCAUUGAGGAGAGACAGAAAUCAGAGGUCAAUGGACUUUCCCAGGAUGCAAUAGUUCAUGUGUGUUCAGCCUGAAUUGUCUGCGCCCCAUGUGUGCAUCCAGGGACAACAGGGAAGAGUCCUGGAUCCCCUGGGACUGGAGUUACAGACAGCUGGAAGCUACCACAGGGGUGCUGGAAACCUAACCAAGACCCUCUGCAAGAGCAGUAAGUGCUCUCAGUAGCUGAGCUGGCUCUCCAAGCUCACCUUGAUGGACUUAGUCCAGGGGAGUUGACCUUCCCUUCACUUGUGGCAGUGUAGUUUGUACAUGAUCACAGUAGUCUCAGUCUCCAGUCAACAGGACAGAAACUGCCAAACUGGAAGUUUUUCCAGUAUUGGAAAUACAACUGUGAGACCCAGUGCCUGGAAUUCCUGGCACAAGAACACUUUCCCCAGAUUGCUUUAUAAUUAUUUCUUCAAGUGUCUGCCUCCCGACUAACGUGACAUGUGGAGCGAGUCACCGGUCAGAGUCUUCCUUGUCUCCAAAAGCGCUUGGCAUGAUGCCUGAUAGCAAAUAUUUAUCAAGAACCAUCUGGGUGCCAAAGAACUACUCCAGGGACCGCAGAAACUGCAAGGGAAACACUCCUGCCCUCGCUGAGCCAUGGUUUCUUAUAUUUAUUUCCUACAAUUGUUGCAGAAUAUUGGAGGGGAAGUACAGAAUCAACUCAAGACCCCCAAAUAAGUCAUGAAAAUGGCAGAUACCCUUGCGUGGCCAUUCGAUGCCUACAUUUGGACACUGUGUAAGGACUAAGUCUUUUUGUUCUAAUGAAGAUGUUUCAUGAGUUUUGCCUCUGCAUUAAGUGGAUGAUGCUACUGAAGAGACAAACCCUGGAGGCAUGGAGCUGCUUCUUCCUGAACCUAGGAAUGCUCAUCCUGCUUUAAAAGCCUUCAGGUGUCAGAGGCAUGUGGAUUUCGAGUGCCGUACAACGCCGAUUGCCCAUCCUCCGCACACAUUCACCUUCUGCUAAUACUUGUUCAAGGGUCUAAGUGCCUUUGACCACAGAAAGAAGUGGUGAAACAGUGGUGGAAAAGGAAAACAAAAAAACAAAAAACAAAAAAUCCAAAAACCCCAAGGAAGGACUCCUGACAAAUGGUGCCUUUCAGGACGUCAGCCCAGUGAAAAAUGAGAUCUGCCGGUUUCAAACUCAGGCUAGUGGCGGAAGAAGGACAGAUGUCAGGAGGAAAGAAACAUCUCCUACAUGAAGUGGGAAGAAAGUGAGGCUCACCCCUGGCUGCAUCCAGGGAAUGCUGAAAGAAGAAGAAAAAGACCCAAGGCCACCCAGAGGAGAGUGAACAGCGGACCUCAAAUGAAGUCUGUGUUUUUGCCCUCAGCAUUCGGUGUUCCCAGGGC
rnacentral:lncRNA from 1 species